GGGGAAUCUUCCGCAAUGAACGAAAGUCUGACGGAGCAACGCCGCGUGAGUGAUGACGGCCUUCGGGUUGUAAAGCUCUGUUAAUCGGGACGAAAGGCCUUCUUGCGAAUAGUUAGAAGGAUUGACGGUACCGGAAUAGAAAGCCACGGCUAACUACGUGCCAGCAGCCGCGGUAAUACGUAGGUGGCAAGCGUUGUCCGGAAUUAUUGGGCGUAAAGCGCGCGCAGGCGGAUUGGUCAGUCUGUCUUAAAAGUUCGGGGCUUAACCCCGUGAUGGGAUGGAAACUGCCAAUCUAGAGUAUCGGAGAGGAAAGUGGAAUUCCUAGUGUAGCGGUGAAAUGCGUAGAUAUUAGGAAGAACACCAGUGGCGAAGGCGACUUUCUGGACGAAAACUGACGCUGAGGCGCGAAAGCCAGGGGAGCGAACGGGAUUAGAUACCCCGGUAGUCCUGGCCGUAAACGAUGGGUACUAGGUGUAGGAGGUAUCGACCCCUUCUGUGCCGGAGUUAACGCAAUAAGUACCCCGCCUGGGGAGUACGACCGCAAGGUUG
rnacentral:rRNA from 1 species